GAUCAUGGCUCAGGAUGAACGCUAGCUACAGGCUUAACACAUGCAAGUCGAGGGGCAGCAUGAUUGAAGCUUGCUUCAAUCGAUGGCGACCGGCGCACGGGUGAGUAACACGUAUCCAACCUGCCGAUAACUCGGGGAUAGCCUUUCGAAAGAAAGAUUAAUACCCGAUAGCAUAGUAUUUCCGCAUGGUUUCACUAUUAAAGAACUUCGGUCAUCGAUGGGGAUGCGUUCCA
rnacentral:rRNA from 1 species